rnacentral:rRNA from 1 species
UACGUAGGGCGCAAGCGUUGUCCGGAAUUAUUGGGCGUAAAGAGCUCGUAGGCGGUCUGUUGCGUCUGCUGUGAAAACCCGGGGCUUAACCCCUGGCUUGCAGUGGAUACGGACAGACUAGAGGUAGGUAGGGGAGAAUGGAAUUCCCGGUGUAGCGGUGAAAUGCGCAGAUAUCGGGAGGAACACCGGUGGCGAAGGCGGUUCUCUGGGCCUUACCUGACGCUGAGGAGCGAAAGCAUGGGGAGCGAACAGG